rnacentral:rRNA from 1 species
AGCGAACGCUGGCGGCAGGCCUAACACAUGCAAGUCGAACGAACCCUUCGGAGUUAGUGGCGGACGGGUGAGUAACACGUGGGAACGUGCCUUUAGGUUCGGAAUAACUCAGGGAAACUUGUGCUAAUACCGAAUGUGCCCUUCGGGGGAAAGAUUUAUCGCCUUUAGAGCGGCCCGCGUCUGAUUAGCUAGUUGGUGAGGUAAUGGCUCACCAAGGCUACGAUCAGUAGCUGGUCUGAGAGGAUGACCAGCCACAUUGGGACUGAGACACGGCCCAAACUCCUACGGGAGGCAGCAGUGGGGAAUCUUGCGCAAUGGGCGAAAGCCUGACGCAGCCAUGCCGCGUGGAUGAUGAAGGUCUUAGGAUUGUAAAAUUCUUUCACCGGGGACGAUAAUGACGGUACCCGGAGAAGAAGCCCCGGCUAACUUCGUGCCAGCCGCCGCAGUAACAC